rnacentral:rRNA from 1 species
AGCGGCGGACGGGUGAGUAACGCGUGGGUAACCUGCCUCAUACAGGGGGAUAACAGUUAGAAAUGACUGCUAAUACCGCAUAAGACCACAGCACCGCAUGGUGCGGGGGUAAAAACUCCGGUGGUAUGAGAUGGACCCGCGUCUGAUUAGCUGGUUGGUAAGGUAACGGCUUACCAAGGCGACGAUCAGUAGCCGACCUGAGAGGGUGACCGGCCACAUUGGGACUGAGACACGGCCCAA